UACGUAGGUGACAAGCGUUGUCCGGAUUUACUGGGCGUAAAGAGCGCGCAGGCGGUCGAUCAAGUCGAGUGUGAAAGCCCCCGGCUCAACUGGGGAGGGUCAUUCGAUACUGAUCGACUCGAAGGCAGGAGAGGGUAGUGGAAUUCCCGGUGUAGUGGUGAAAUGCGUAGAUAUCGGGAGGAACACCAGUGGCGAAGGCGGCUACCUGGACAAUUGCUGACGCUCAGGCACGAAAGCGUGGGGAGCAAACAGG
rnacentral:rRNA from 1 species